rnacentral:rRNA from 1 species
GAGUGGCGGACGGGUGAGUAAUGUCUGGGAAACUGCCUGAUGGAGGGGGAUAACUACUGGAAACGGUAGCUAAUACCGCAUAACGUCGCAAGACCAAAGAGGGGGACCCUCGGGCCUCUUGCCAUCGGAUGUGCCCAGAUGGGAUUAGCUUGUUGGUGGGGUAACGGCUCACCAAGGCGACGAUCCCUAGCUGGUCUGAGAGGAUGACCAGCCACACUGGAACUGAGACACGGUCCAGACUCCUACGGGAGGCAGCAUG